GCCCAUAUGCGCCGUCGUCCGGCUGAUCGGAUAGACGCGGUAAUUCUGCUUGUAAUACGUGUUCACCGCCGGGAGUGUGUCCGGCCCUCACGGGCUGGGCUUCUCCACAUUCCGGCUGGAGUCCCAAGGCAUCAAUCCCGCUCCGGCGGGGGAGGAGUCCCCGGGACAGAACCACAGAAGGCCUUCGAGGCCCUCGUAGGCGCUGGGCUUCAGACCUAUCAACUGUGGAGGCUGGGUAAGGUCCAGCCUCGGUGAUAACGGGUACAGAGGAUCAGGGUUCGGUCCUGGAGAGGUAGCCUGAGAGAUAGCUACUACUUCUAAGGAAGGCAGCAGGCGCGCAACGUUCCCAAUGGUUUGCCACCCCGUGGCUGAGGACGUUAAGGGACAUAACAAUGCCCUGCCCUUUCGGGCGGGGUAAUUGUAAUGGGGGCGUUCUAAACCCCCCACCGAGUAGCAAUUGGAGGACAAGUCUGGUGCCAGCACCCGCGGUAAUUCCAGCUCCAAUAGCAUCUAAUUGAGUUGUUGCAGUUAAAACGCUCGUAGUCCGACACGGCACUGCUGACCCGCUGAGUAGCUUCCCGCGUGGGUGCCGGCUCCGGCCGGCGCGAAGCCCCACGGGCGGUCCAAAGGCGAUUAGGCGGGGCCAUAAUGGCGUGGGCGGGCGGGUCCGGCCGCCCGCCCGUUAGCCGUUUUACUUUGAGGAAAUGUGAGCGCUCUAAGCAGCCCCUUGGGGGCCUGAAGCCUGCAGCAAAGAAUAAUACAACACGGUUCUCGUGGCGUAUUGGUACGGCGCCGCCGGGCAAUGAUCAAUAGGGGAGAUCGGGGUCGGCCUCAUGGCGGGGGUAGGGGUGAAAUCCGUUGAUCCUCGCCAGGAGAACAAGAGCGAAAGCAGCCGACAAGUACUCUUUCUUUGAUCAAGAACGAAAGUCUGGGGAUCGAAGAUGAUCAGAUACCAUCGUAGUCCAGACCCUAAAUGUUGCCGACCAUGGAUGGGCGCCAGUCCGUCCCGACCCGGCCCGCACCUUGUGAGAAAUCAUAAGUGUUUGGGCUCCGGGGGGAGUAUGGUCGCAAGACUGAAACUUAAAGGAAUUGACGGAAGAGCACACAAGGAGUGGAGCCUGCGGCCUAAUUUGACUCAACACGGGGAAACUCACGAGUGCAAGAGAAGGUUACGAAGCCCGGCAUGAAUUGCCUGGCUGAUUCUUUCAGUGGUGGUGCAUGGUCGUUCUUAGUUCGUGGAGUGAUUUGUCUGGUCUAUUCCGCUAACGAGCGAGAACCCGCUUUCUGGAUGUUGCGUGGCUGGGGCUGGUGGGGUUGCGGCAGGCGGGCGGUACAUUGGGCCUCCGGGCCCUCUAAGGCUGCUCGCAGGCGGGCCCUCCGUUUAAUGUCCCGGCUUGCGGUCCUGCAAAGUGUCCCGGCGACAAGCCGGGGCUCUGGGUCAAUAACAGGUCAGUGAUGCCCUUAGAUGUACUCGGCUGCACGCGCGCUACAAUGGGAGGUCCAACGGGUCCUCAGCCCCUAUCGGGUGCGGAGAAUCCUAGUAAAGCCGCCCUCAUCUGGGAUUGCAGCAUGUAAUAUGCGGCAUGAACAUGGAAUUUCUAGUAGUCACGGUUCACCAGACCGUGGCGAUUCUGUCCCUGCUCUUUGUACACACCGCCCGUCGCUCCUACCGAUUGGGCUGCGGGGUGAAAUAGGAGGACCCCUAAGCUGCUCGUCCGGCACUUGUGCCGGACAGCGGGUAAUCCCUUUGAACCCUGUGGUCUAGAGGAAGGAGAAGUCGUAACA
rnacentral:rRNA from 1 species